UACAGAGGUCCCAAGCGUUGUUCGGAUUCACUGGGCGUAAAGGGUGCGUAGGUGGUGAGGUAAGUCGGAUGUGAAAUCUCCAAGCUCAACUUGGAAACUGCAUUGGAAACUACCUUGCUAGAGGAUUUGAGGGGGGAUUGGAAUACUUGGUGUAGCAGUGAAAUGCGUAGAUAUCAAGUGGAACACCAGUGGCGAAGGCGGCCAUCUGGCCUGGAAUUGACGCUGAGGCGCGAAAGCGUGGGGAGCAAACAGG
rnacentral:rRNA from 1 species